UACGUAGGAGGCAAGCGUUGUCCGGAGUUACUGGGCGUAAAGCGCGCGCAGGCGGCUAUCCAAGUCAGUGGUGAAAGCCCGGAGCUCAACUCCGGAACUGCCAUUGAAACUGUUUAGCUGGAGUAUGAGAGAGGUGAGUGGAAUUCCCAGUGUAGAGGUGAAAUUCGUAGAUAUUGGGAAGAACACCGGUGGCGAAGGCGGCUCACUGGCUCAUUACUGACGCUCAUGCGCGACAGCGUGGGGAUCAAACAGG
rnacentral:rRNA from 1 species